CCAUGAAAGUUGUCCAAUUCAAUGGCUCAUUUGUUAGUAUAACCAACAUAAUUUAAAACUUCACUAUCUCCACUUAUCAAUGUCAGAUGUGCCACUUUUUUUUCUUAGAUUAAACUACCAGGGAGCUCCACCAUGCAGCGCCCGCGUCUCUUUACUUUGCUCCAAAGGCUCUUUUAGUAAAUUGUAAGCGGCUGUUUGACAGCUUCAUUUUGGCCUCAGCGUGUUUUUUCUUUUCAACUCCACCUUGUAUGUUUGUGGGCGGAACCCGCGGCCAUCCAAUCCAGUGGGUCCAACUCGGGGAAAACAAAUGACUUUCAGGCAGUCGGCCUUGUUAAAGAGUGCUGCGUUCCCAUGCUGUGGGAAAAACGAUUACUAGAUAUGGAGACUGCCUCAGAGACUUACAAAAACAGUCCUCAACUUAACUGAUUUCUAAUUUCAUUUUAGAGAAAACCCUUCCAGUCAAAAACAUGCGAAGAGGGAUGGUGAGGAUGAGGACGAAAGGCAGAGCCAGAGAGAAGGGGCUGAUCUUCACUACCCACAGGACGGCCAGACAUACGAGCUGGAUCAGAGUGAACAUGUGCAUCCGCAAGGUGUUCACCUGCACAAACGACAGCACAGGAGGAUUUGAACAGACAGACAUUAGAAGCCCUCCAAAGGUGAUGGCCGGGGACAAGGCAGCGAAGUAGAUGAAGAUGACAGCGGCGAGCACCUGAGGGUUCAGGGCGUCUGUAAAGUCGCUGAGGUAGACGCGAUAACGCCGCUUCAUGUCCCUCACCAUCCCACCGAAGGGAUAACCUGUCCGGGCCAGAGGGUCCUCCCUGGGCUCUUCUGGAGCUUUGUCAACUGGACAAAAAAAACCCCAAAUCAUAAUGGCUUUAACCCUGAUGUUCUCUGUUCUCCUGCUUUUAUAAGCCUUGUUUCUAAUUUCUAUUGUUGUCUCUUUGUGUUUUCUUCAUUUAUAUGCAUUAGAAAUGGGAUUUGAGGGUCACUGUUGAACUUUUUGCAAUGUCCUCCUAUAUCUAUGUCUGUUUCUCGUGUGUUUACAUUGUUUAUUCUUUUCUCUUUUAUGCGACCAAAGUGUAUAUACAAAUUUGAAAUAUUUAGAGCAAAUUUUUCUCUUAUGCAUUUAGCAUCCAUUGCAAGAAAAGGACCCUCUUCCAUGUAGAAAUUUAGUUUAUCAUUAUCCUUAAAUACCGAUUGUUCUCUGUCUAAUAAGGGCAAAUAUUUGUAAAUUAAUAUUUUCUGCAGAUUCAAAUACAGUAAAAAAUAACAUAAUAUGAUGUUAAUAUGUUGCAAAGAACAGAUUACCAUUCAUGAAAAUACAGACUUUGGACGUAGAUAUUAAAAUUAAUGGUUCUGUAACAAAAAGAAAGGUUGUCUGAUUUUAUUGCAUUAAAUAUAGCACAAUUUAUAACAAAAAACAGCAAAUUACCAUUUAAAAACUUAAAGACUUUUGAUGCAGACAUUAGUUUCAGUUUUGCUCUGUUUUUUCCAACAUGUAGAUUUUUAAAGUCUGCAGAUAUCUGAAAGUUUAACCACAGUAUGAAUGUGAAAAAGACCCCAUAUGACGAGUUAUACUUCACUUUUCUCAAGGAUGACCUGACUGAGAGUCUCAAUUGCCACAUACAGCUGGAAAUAAUUAUUAGACCAGCCUUUCACUUUAGUUUUGUUUUAGAGUCAUCAGCGUCAUAAGCUCAUUACAGCAUCUCUAAAGGACAUACAAAUAGUCUAAUAUAUCAGUAUAUACCUUGAAUUAUGUUUGAAAAUUUGAUGUGUUGAAACUAUGUGUUUCAAAAUUCACACUAGAUGGCUGAAAAUAUUUUUUUAAGUCGCAAAUAUUUUGUGCAUGGUACUGCCAAAGGUCAUAAAUAUAUAAUAUAUCUUGUUUGUUUAAUCAAUACAGGCAUCAAAAUCUAAAAAGAAGCUGUUCUUUUAGGGGGUGUUGCAAAAUCAUAUUGCACUUUUUCUGCAACAGUUUUUUUUAGACUCCAGUAGAAGACUGGGUUCAGGUUUAAAAUGUGACACUACGUUGUUUGCUGACCUUUAACUCUGUCUCCGAAGGCCAGCCGGGAGUCACAGGGACGCAGUCUGUCUCGCAGCAUCUUCUGCUGAAAGUCGAUGAUGGGAUCCAGCAUGGCCUUGUCCUGGAUCUCAGUGGGAGGAAUCACGAUGCUGCAGUCCAUGAAGUCAGCGAUGGCAUUGGUCAGAUCUUUGUCACUCUGGGCCAAGAAGGCUUCAAGACAGAAAACCUGACAGAGAAAAGAUACAGAACAUUCAUCAAUUCAUGUUUUUAUUUAGACAACAACAAGAAAAACCCAGACAUUUUCAGGUCAGUUAACUAGAAAUUAGCUAAACUUAUUUAUCUACAUUUGUAAACUAGAAAAGAUAAGUUGAUUUGACUAAACUUCUCUGUGAUGGACCCUUGUUUUUCAAAACUCUUUUUUGGGCUCUGAUAA